UACGUAGGGUGCGAGCGUUAAUCGGAAUUACUGGGCGUAAAGCGUGCGCAGGCGGUUUUGUAAGUCAGAUGUGAAAUCCCCGGGCUUAACCUGGGAACUGCGUUUGAAACUACAAGGCUAGAGUGUAGCAGAGGGGGGUGGAAUUCCACGUGUAGCAGUGAAAUGCGUAGAGAUGUGGAGGAACACCGAUGGCGAAGGCAAUCCCCUGGGCCUGCACUGACGCUCAUGCACGAAAGCGUGGGGAGCAAACAGG
rnacentral:rRNA from 1 species